rnacentral:lncRNA from 1 species
AAAAAUGGGACGCGGGAAUUUUUUAUUUUUUAUAAAUUUUUUUGAGACUUUGCGCGACAAAUAUUUCUCGUCGCGCAAACCUUUGAGCGACUAAUGUGUUUCGUCGCGCAAACCUUUGCGCGACCAAUGUGUUUCGUCGCGCAAAACUUUGCGCGACAAAUAGUUUUCGUCACGCAAACCUUUGCGCGACCAAUGUGUUUCGUCGCGCAAACCUUUGAGCGACCAAUGUGUUUCGUCGCGCAAAGUUUU